UGGGGAAUCUUCCGCAAUGGACGAAAGUCUGACGGAGCAACGCCGCGUGAGUGAAGAAGGUUUUCGGAUCGUAAAACUCUGUCUUUUGGGGCGAACGUGAGUAUGGUGAACAAUCAUAGUCAGUGACGGUACCAAAGGAGGAAGCCACGGCUAACUACGUGCCAGCAGCCGCGGUAAUACGUAGGUGGCAAGCGUUGUCCGGAAUUAUUGGGCGUAAAGAGCGCGUAGGCGGGAUAGUCAGUCUGUUGUAAAGUGCGGGGCUCAACCCGUGAUGGCAAUGGAAACAGCUAUUCUUGAGUGCAGGAGAGGAAAGUGGAAUUCCCAGUGUAGCGGUGAAAUGCGUAGAUAUUGGGAGGAACACCAGUGGCGAAGGCGACUUUCUGGACUGUGUCUGACGCUGAGGCGCGAAAGCCAGGGGAGCGAACGGGAUUAGAUACCCCGGUAGUCCUGGCCGUAAACGAUGGGUACUAGGUGUGGGAGGUAUCGACCCCUUCCGUGCCGGAGUUAACGCAAUAAGUACCCCGCCUGGGGAGUACGGUCGCAAGACUGAAACUCAAAGGAAUUGAC
rnacentral:rRNA from 1 species